ACCCAGGAAAUCAGUGAGUUGGCAAUCGUCAGCAUAUUAAUGGCGGGGGGCUAUAAAUUUUGAGCUAUUUGCAGAAUAUACAGGUGCUCGACACAGAACUCGUAGUGAUUGUCUCUGCUGUUCUUACUUAACAGAGUGCGUUAGGGAGUGAUUGUCACUGCAGUGUCUUCUGAGAAAUGGCUAGGUUUUCUGGCUACUAUAUCUUCAUCGUUCUUCUUGUCUUCCCAGUUGCAUGGACAGUGCCUCGAGCAGAAGCAAAAAUAUGCUAUAACAUAAUUCCUAACAUUGCUCCAUGCAACCCUGGCGGCUGUGGGAGGCUGUGCAAGUUUUUACACUACGAGAAGGGAGAGUGCUCUCCUAUGCUGCCAAGCGGAGAGAUCCGUUGCAAGUGCAGCUGGACAUGUAAAUUAACGAACAAUCUGCCUCAUCAGUUUUACAAGCAUUAAUAUUGACUUGAUGUAUAAUGUUUGCAAGACAAACAGAUAAAUAAUUCAUGGUUCUGUUGGAUUCAA